rnacentral:rRNA from 1 species
GGAGUUUGGACCGUGUCUCAGUUCCAUUGUGGCCGUUCAUCCUCUCAGACCGGCUACCGAUCGUCGGCUUGGUGCGCUUUUAUCACACCAACUACCUAAUCGGACGCAGGCUCCUCGCAAAGCGAUAAAUCUUUAGUACAGAAUCCAUGCGAACUCCGCACAACAUCCGGUAUUAGCGUCCCUUUCGGGACGUUGUCCCCGACUUUGCGGCAGAUUACCUGCGCUUUACUCACCCGUUCGCCACUAAACCCGAAGGUUCCGUUCGACUUGCAUGUGUUAAGCACGCCGCCAGCGUUCGUCUCGAGCCAUGAUCAAACUCU